rnacentral:rRNA from 1 species
UACGAAGGGUGCAAGCGUUACUCGGAAUUACUGGGCGUAAAGGGUGCGUAGGUGGUUUGUUAAGUCUGCUGUGAAAGCCCCGGGCUUAACCUGGGAAUGGCCGUUGAAACUGGCGAACUGGAGUGUGGCAGAGGGGGGUGGAGUUCCGCGUGUAGCAGUGAAAUGCGUAGAGAUGCGGAGGAACACCGAUGGCGAAGGCAGCCCCCUGGGCUAACACUGACGCUCAUGCACGAAAGCGUGGGGAGCAAACAGG